CCUCGGAAAGGGUGGCCUAAAGGUUGGAGGACCAAGUUAUCUGAAACAAAAACCAGCAUGGCAACUGUCAACAGGAGGAAUAGGUGACACUUCAGUUGUUUUCUAAGACUUUCAGAUGUAUGAAAUGGAUGCAGAAUGAGGAUCUCAAAUGAAAUGCCAUAGCACGGCAAGUAUGGAGCCCACUCAGUUCACCGCUGCUGUUGCGAGCAUUGUAAACACCUCGUGCAUUAUACUGCAGUAUGUGCAGAACCUGGCUAAGAGACCACAGCCCGAGGACGAUUGUGAGGAGGACAUGGACACAGACAUUCCUGAAAGCACAGGAUGUAACAAUUGGGACAUCAUGGUGGCAGUGGGGCUGGUUGAUAAAGUGGAACGCUGAUUCUGGGCUCAGCAAACAAGAACAGACCAAGCCUAUCCCUUGCUCCCAUGGCUCAUGAAGCCAUACACAGGCAGCCUGGACAGUAGUAAGGAGAAGUUCAACUAUAGGCUGAGCAAGUGCAGAAUGGUGGUAGAAUGUACCUUUGGCCAUUUA